rnacentral:tRNA from 1 species
UGUGGCAGAUUAGUGCAGUAAACUUAAGAUUUUCAAAUAAAUUAUUAUUUCUUUAGAA